CCCUUAGAUGUUCUGGGCUGCACACGGGCUACACUGGCAGGUUCAGCGAGCUUCAUGCCCUGAUCUGAAAGGAAUGGGAAAUCUUUUCAAAACCUGCCGUGCUUGGGAUAGAUGUUUGCAAUUAUUCAUCUUCAACGAGGAUUGCCUUGUAAGCGCACGUCAUCAGCGUGCAUUGAAUACGACCCUGUAUUCUGUACACACCGCCCGUCGCUCCUACCGAUUGAAGUUUUCGGUGAGUUGACAGGAGGAUUUUUUUGAAACUGGUUCGCCAGUGGAUUUUAGAUCCAAAUGCCAACGAAUCGAUGGCUUUAGAGGAAGGAGAAGUCGUAACA
rnacentral:rRNA from 1 species